CAGUAACCUGUUGCAUCCAGCAGAAAAAAGCCAACGGGACAGAAAGUCAUUGGGGACAAGAUGUGGUGGAUACUGUCAUCAAUAUCAAGGCAGGUGAAGAAACAUCCUGGAUUGAUUCCAUUAAUUGGCUUUACUGGACUGGGAAUUACCAACGCAACUCUCUACGUGAUAAAGCUUACCCUGUUCAACCCAGAUAUAAGUUGGGUGAAGAAGAAGGAACCAGAGCCUUGGUAUAAAUUAGACAGAGCUCUGGAGAGGAGGUGAAGGCCAUGAGAUGUUUUAAUAAUGGAACAGGAUCUGAAACCCUCCUGUCUGUGAAGUCAUUGGCCUAUCAUAACUGAAGGACACAGCAAUUUGAAGAUAAAGUUCCUUUUUUUUUUAAACACUAAUUUUUCUGCCA